rnacentral:misc_RNA from 1 species
CGAAAAAAUCAUUCCGAAACCGCACGAAAGAUUCAACGAAUCUAUUCGUUGAAGUCGAACAAUUUCGUGUUUAAAAGAAUUUCGGAAGCAGGGACUAAAACGAAUAUGCUCGGUGUAGAAGCGGAUGAUCUUCUCUAAAAAGCCAACGACGUGGAGGGUUAAUUCCGCAGGAACGGCGAGAAGAGAGACGACGCCGGUGGAUUAUCCGUACCUAGGCGAAGAGACGCGGGAGACGCGGAGGAAAAAGAAAUGGGAAGCCAUUUCCGUCGUGUCCUUAUUUAGAGGAGGGACACGUCCGGGAUCAGGAGAAAAUAUAUGUGCGUUCCCGCAAUACACACCACUGUGCGCGGUCUGUGGGCCGAGCUCGCUGUCGGGGACGAAGUCUGGAAGGAAGGUCGCGCCUUUAUACGCGCGCUUACUUUGUGCUGUCCCAUGUGGCCGCGAACGAGCAAUGAGAUUCUUGG